AUUGAGCGCUGGCGGCAUGCUUUACACAUGCAAGUCGAACGGUAACAGGCCUUCGGGUGCUGACGAGUGGCGAACGGGUGAGUAAUGCAUCGGAACGUACCCAGAGGUGGGGGAUAACGCAGCGAAAGCUGUGCUAAUACCGCAUGUGAUCUGAGGAUGAAAGCGGGGGACCGAGCAGCAAUGUUUGGCCUCGCGCCUUUGGAGCGGCCGAUGUCGGAUUAGCUAGUUGGUGGGGUAAAGGCCUACCAAGGCGACGAUCCGUAGCUGGUCUGAGAGGACGACCAGCCACACUGGGACUGAGACACGGCCCAGACUCCUACGGGAGGCAGCAGUGGGGAAUUUUGGACAAUGGGCGCAAGCCUGAUCCAGCAAUGCCGCGUGCGGGAAGAAGGCCUUCGGGUUGUAAAACGCUUUUGGCAGGAACGAAACGGUGUCCGCUAAUACCGGGCGCUAAUGACGGUACCUGCAGAAUAAGCACCGGCUAACUACGUG
rnacentral:rRNA from 1 species